CACCCUCUGUUACGGUGUGGUCGCAUGGUGGAUGUGGGAGGAGGGCCACCUCUUGAUGCCAAAGGACCCGGAGCAAGCAGGAUGAAGGCAAGUCUCUUUGGCGCUUCGGGGCGAGCGGAUCAUCCUCUACACACCAUUGUGCCGGGCGACUUCGUGCUUAUCAAGAACUUCAGACGGAAGAGCUGGAAACAAUGAGGCUGGCUCGGCCCGUUCCAAGUUCUCCUCGUCACCCACACUGCAGUGAAAGUGGAAGAACGGCCGACGUGGGUCCACGCUUCGCAAUGCAAGGCGAUUUCGGGCCCUGUAGCGGUGGCAGCAGAGGAGUGAGGAGCUGUAAAAUCGCUUUUGGCUCCUACGACAGGAUCCGCGGCUGCAGAGACGAGGGUUACACACACCUCCCUCGCAUCACAUCUUUAGAGAAACACUACUAGUUUGCAGACACAGGUGAAGGCGCUGAGGGCCAAAAUCACCAGGACAAAUGUGUAGCGGACUCGCAUAAUGUCUCAAACUGCUAUGUCUGUACAUAUAUGCCUAUAGCGGCGUCCAAUCCACAUGUCACACCUAAGCCUGUAAUGGAGGGUUAUAGAUAUUUUCCCAGGAUGUGUUAUACCUUUUUGCAGCAAAUCUGAAUGAUACGGUUAAAGCGCAUACGGGGACACCUUUGUCCUCGCUUGAAGAUCCGAAGUUAGAUUUUUAUGAUCUGUGGUCCGAUAAUGAUACGAAUGUGCUUUUUGGUCCAGUUUAUAUUAGGCCGGGUAUGAAAUGUGCGUGUUAUGCGGUAUCUUGGAGCCUUAGAGAGCCGCCAGUGCAGAUGGGACAAAUUCCACUGAUGUAUUGUUUAAAUGUGACUAGUUCAUGCACUACAUAUCACGGUAACACUAGUUUGAACAUUUCACAGGCUGCGCAAGGAGGGGGCUGUUCUCCCUAUUUUACAGAUCAAACUGGCACGCGGCCUCAGGAGGAUGUUCUGUGGCUUUGUGGCUUUAACGUUUAUGUUAGAUUGCCAUAGAAUUGGAUGGGCCGUUGUGCUAUGAUAACAGCUGCUGACCACUCUUACAUUGUGUCAGCUGUUCCGAGUCAUAGGGGUAAGCGUGAGUAUGCACCCCAUGAUGCGAUUUGGGGUACAAAUGUGCCUGCAGAUCUUGAACUUUGGACACCAGGAGAAAAGGUGGCAUUGUCAUUGUUUCCACAGCUGGGCGUGGGGAAACUCAUGCUUAGAAUGGAGAUGCUGAAUCAUCGGUUUUCAGGUUUUGUAAAUUGGACAGUUACUAUUACGGAGGCGAGCAGAGUGGAAAUGAAGGCGUUACGGGCAGUGACUUUGCAAAAUCGUAUAGUAUUAGACUAUUUGGUAGCGAGCGUCGGAGGAGUUUGUGCUCUGCUGAAUUCAUGGUGCUGUACGUACAUUCCAGACAAUACUGGAGAUGAUUCCGUCAUUUCGCAGGGUAUUCAGAAUUUGACUUCUCUGCGAGACGCAAUAGGAGAAGAUUUUGUGGUGGAUCCGUCCUGAGUAGCAAACUGGCGUUCGUGGAUAAUGCAAAUUGGGACGAUUAUGCUAGUGGUCUUAGCUCUAUUGUUUGUCUUGUCAGUUUGUGUGAUUCCGCUGAUAAGAUCACUAAUCACGCGUAUGAUUUCGUCUGCGUUCGUUCAGUACACAGCCUUGGGACAAGGUGAGGUAGAUUUCAAGGAUGGAAAUGAAGAUCCGUUCUUUGAGAUGUUACUUGAUUAUAAUGUUGAUUAGGUUGAGUAUUUGUGUGGCGUUUUGUAAUUUUAUUUUUAAUCAUGUUAUUACUUUCUAAGGGUUAUUUGGUGUGUGUUUUUUUCGCUAGUUAGUAAUGUUGUUGUUUGUAGUUUAUUAUAGGUAAUAAAAGGGAGGAUUGUGAUAGCAAAAUUACUUGUACUCGUUUUAAUUGAUGAUGUUCUUUAAACGGGUCGCCAAAAGUUGUUUAUUAGGCUUAGGAAUGUGACGUUCUGCAGGAGACCUCUAAUCUGAUCAAGCUCUGUCUUCUGUGUCACCCUUCUGGACAAACCACACCCUCUCCCCUUCACAGGACCUUGGGCAUUCUUUUACUGGGAUACUGUAUGUAAAUGAGCAUGGAGGGUGGGACUUCUGAGAAUGUAUAAUUGUCAUGACAUAUUCUAAAAGAGUUAGAACAAGCUGGAACGAACGGAUGUGUCGUUCUGGUUUGGUCUCGCUUUGCAAAGCUUGUUAUUAUUUGUUUGUUACUCUAAUAAAUCAUUUUAAAGCUA